UAUCUGCGCAUCAACGACUCUUUAAACCGGACGAAUUGCCAACACUGUUUCGUUGCAUCCGCUCACUUUCCGGUUCUUGUCGUUUUUACGGUUUAGAGAAGCGUGCACAAGAGUAUGAAAACGCACGAGCAGAUAGCCUUGGCCCAUACCUUUGCCCGUGUGUCGGCCACCGUACCCACCGGUUACCCUGGAAACGGUAUCGAUUUCAACCCUCAGCUAUGCAGUAGAAACCAGCGGCACACCAUGGGGGUCUCUUCGUCCCGAGUUUCGACAAGACAGCCCGUUUAAACUACCCGAUUACAGCAGCCUCCGUCUCUAUUACCGCCUUACGUUUCGUUUCGCGUGCUUCAGAAAAUCAGCCCGCCUAUAAACGUCAAAGUAGCUGAGUGGAUGGGACGUCGUAAAAUCGGCGAAAUUUUAACCAGAGCUAUCUUUUCAUCGCCGCUGAUAUCCACUUUCGCACGGCGAUUAAUUCUUUCUUGUUUACCUAUGCUAAUAUAAAAUCUCCUUUGUACAGGAUAGCAACGAUAACGCGUUUACGGUAGAACUAUGGAUGAUUCGGUCGAGAAAUAAGAA